rnacentral:rRNA from 1 species
AUGUGGAGCUCCGGCUCCGACCUCGACGAGUCCGCCUCGACGGCGACGGCGGCCACCGCAUGCUCCCUGCAGCCGCAGACGCCGCCUCCGCCUCGCCGCCGCCGCAGCCGCAACCGCCGCCGCGCCCAGCGCCGGGUCAAGAACGGCCCCGAGGUGGAGGAGUCUGAGGCGGAGGCGGAGGAGGUGUGGUGCGGCGCGCAGUGGGAGGCGGCGUGGCCGCGGAGGGCGCGGCCGGUGGUGCUCGCCGGGGAGGACGCGGCCCCGGACGGCGCCGGAGCGGGCGCCGGGGACUCCGGCGUGGGGCGCGCCCGGAGCCUGACGGACGACGACCUGGAGGAGCUCAAGGGGUGCGUGGAUCUGGGGUUCGGCUUCAGCUACAACGAGAUCCCCGAGCUGUGCGGCACCCUGCCCGCGCUCGAGCUCUGCUACUCCAUGAGCCAGCGGUUCCUCGACGAGCACCAGCCGCCGUCCAAGGUCGAAGAUUUGGCUCCGGAGCCGCCGGCGGUCGUGCCUCCUCCGCCGGCCCAGCCCAUCCCCAACUGGAAGAUUUCCUGCCCUGGGGACAGCCCAGAUGAGGUGAAGGCGAGGCUCAAGUACUGGGCGCAGGCGGUGGCGUGCACCGUCAAGCUGUGCAGCUGA